AUGCGAUACGUAGUGUGAAUUGCAGAAUUCAGUGAAUCAUCGAAUCUUUGAACGCACAUUGCGCCCUUUGGUAUUCCAAAGGGCAUGCCUGUUCGAGCGUCAUUUGUACCCUCAAGCUUUGCUUGGUGUUGGGCGUCUUUUGUCUCCAGUUCGCUGGAGACUCGCCUUAAAGUCAUUGGCAGCCGGCCUACUGGUUUCGGAGCGCAGCACAAGUCGCGCUCUUUGCCAGCCAAGGUCAGCGUCCAGCAAGCCUUUUUUUCAACCUUUGACCUCGGAUCAGGUAGGGAUACCCGCUGAACUUAA
rnacentral:misc_RNA from 1 species